rnacentral:rRNA from 1 species
CCCCUAGAGGAGCCUGUUCUAUAAUCGAUAAUCCACGAUCUACCUCACCAUCUCUUGCCAAUACCGCCUAUAUACCGCCGUCACCAGCCUACCCUAUGAAGGAUAUAAAAGUAGGCAAAAUCGCACAACAGCUAACAAGUCAGGUCAAGGUGUAGCUUACUGAGAUGGAAGAAAUGGGCUACAUUUUCUAAACUAGAAAUCAUUUCACGGAAAGAACUAUGAAACACGUUCUAUAAGCAGGAUUUAGCAGUAAAUAGGGAUCACAAUGCCCAAUUUAAGCCGGUCCUAAGGUACGC